GAACUGCGAUAAGUAAUGUGAAUUGCAGAAUUCAGUGAAUCAUCGAGUCUUUGAACGCACAUUGCGCCCCCUGGCAUUCCGGGGGGCAUGCCUGUCCGAGCGUCAUUGCUGCCCUUCAAGCCCGGCUUGUGUGUUGGGUCGUCGUCCCCUCCGGGGGACGGGCCCGAAAGGCAGCGGCGGCACCGCGUCCGGUCCUCGAGCGUAUGGGGCUUUGUCACCCGCUCGAUAAGGACCGGCCGAGCGCCAGCCGGCGUCUCCAACCUUUUUUUCUCAGGUUGACCUCGGAUCAGGUAGGGAUACCCGCUGAACUUAAG
rnacentral:misc_RNA from 1 species